rnacentral:ncRNA from 2 species
CUAUAUCUAGUGUUCAACGGUCCUCCGAAUCGAAGGGUGAAGAGGCUAAGAGGGAAUACGGUGCGCCAGGGCUUUCAAGCUCCGGCAAAGCCGGAGCUGCCCCCGCAACUGUCAGCGGCGAGCGUCUGUUUCAUUUCAAGUCACUGAAGCAUCAGGCUUCGGGAAGGCGGAAUGGACGCAACGACCCGCAAGCCAGGAGACCUGCCAUUGAGCGAAAACGUCC